rnacentral:lncRNA from 1 species
AGGGUUUUAAGGAAAAUUUAUCAAAAAUAUCAAUAAAAAUGAAUUGCUACGGAGGAAAAAUUCUAAAAUGCAACACGUAUAUUGGUGACGUGGCAUAACAAAUCAAUCAAAUAUUUUCUUUUAGGAGUAUAUGUCCCAUUAUAAUUGUAAAAAAAAUAUUUUUAUUGUAUUUUUAUUUGAAAAGUAGGAAUGUUAUUGAUUUGUUAUUUGAUGACGUGGUGCAAGUGUGAUAGUGUAGAAUUUCUCGUUUUGGAGAGAGCGGGUUG